UACGGAGGGGGCUAGCGUUGUUCGGAAUUACUGGGCGUAAAGCGCACGUAGGCGGCUUUGUAAGUUAGAGGUGAAAGCCCGGGGCUCAACUCCGGAAUUGCCUUUAAGACUGCAUCGCUAGAAUUGUGGAGAGGUAAGUGGAAUUCCGAGUGUAGAGGUGAAAUUCGUAGAUAUUCGGAAGAACACCAGUGGCGAAGGCGACCAACUGGACGAAUACUGACGCUGAGACACGAAAGCGUGGGGAGCAAACAGG
rnacentral:rRNA from 1 species